GUAGGGAAUAUUGCACAAUGGGGGAAACCCUGAUGCAGCGACGCCGCGUGAGUGAUGAAGGCCUUCGGGUCGUAAAGCUCUGUCGUAUGGGACUAACAAAAUGAAGGUACCAUGCAAGAAAGGAUCGGCUAACUUCGUGCCAGCAGCCGCGGUAAGACGAGGGAUCCUAGCGUUGUUCGGAAUUAUUGGGCGUAAAGCGGGUGUAGGCGGGCCGGUCAGUCAGGUGUGAAAUCCCAGGGCUUAACCCUGGAAGUGCACUUGAUACUGCAGGGCUUGAGUGUGGUAGAGGCUAUUAGAAUUCUAGGUGUAGUGGUGAAAUACGUAGAUAUCAAGAGGAAUACCGGAGGCGAAGGCGGAUAGCUGGGCCAACACUGACGCUGAGACCCGAAAGCGUGGGGAUCAAACAGGAUUAGAAACCCGAGUAGUCC
rnacentral:rRNA from 1 species